rnacentral:rRNA from 1 species
GGUAUGGCGCUACCUGCAGUCGAGCGGUAGAGAGAAGCUUGCUUCUCUUGAGAGCGGCGGACGGGUGAGUAAUGCCUAGGAAUCUGCCUAGUGGUGGGGGAUAACGUUCGGAAACGGACGCUAAUACCGCAUACGUCCUACGGGAGAAAGCGGGGGAUCUUCGGACCUCGCGCCAUUAGAUGAGCCUAGGUCGGAUUAGCUAGUUGGUGAGGUAAUGGCUCACCAAGGCGACGAUCCGUAACUGGUCUGAGAGGAUGAUCAGUCACACUGGAACUGAGACACGGUCCAGACUCCUACGGGAGGCAGCAGUGGGGAAUAUUGGACAAUGGGCGAAAGCCUGAUCCAGCCAUGCCGCGUGUGUGAAGAAGGUCUUCGGAUUGUAAAGCACUUUAAGUUGGGAGGAAGGGUAGUAACCUAAUACGUUGCUACUUUGACGUUACCGACAGAAUAAGCACCGGCUAACUUCGUGCCAGCAGCCGCGGUAAUACGAAGGGUGCAAGCGUUAAUCGGAAUUACUGGGCGUAAAGCGCGCGUAGGUGGUUCAGUAAGUUGGAAGUGAAAUCCCCGGGCUCAACCUGGGAACUGCUUUCAAAACUGCUGAGCUAGAGUACGGUAGAGGGUGGUGGAAUUUCCUGUGUAGCGGUGAAAUGCGUAGAUAUAGGAAGGAACACCAGUGGCGAAGGCGACCACCUGGACUGAUACUGACACUGAGGUGCGAAAGCGUGGGGAGCAAACAGGAUUAGAUACCCUGGUAGUCCACGCCGUAUACGAUGUCAACUAGCCGUUGGAAUCCUUGAGAUUUCAGUGGCGCAGCUAACGCAUUAAGUUGACCCCCCUGGGAGGGCGGC